UAUAUCCAUGUUUAAAAAGAAUACGAUUGUCCAUAAAGAGUCAAGUUGUAAAAUCUCGUUAUCUCAAUUAUUAUCGAGAUAAUUCUUCAAAAUUUUGCCACGAAUGUACAUUUUAUAAAACCUACAGUUACAAAUUUACAUAACUUAUACUUGUAAAAAGUAUUAUAUGUUUCAUAUUCACCCUAAAAAAAAGUUUCCAUCCAUCCAUCCAUAACAUUUCCACCCUUAGGAGAAAUCGAGCCUGUGAAUAAAUAAAUAAAUACGAUCGUUGGGGCGAUCCUCGCGUGUCACGCGCGUUCUUGAGAGUGUGCUAGUGCCGUUUUGCUCUCCGCGGGUCUGAUUUGAGUUAGCCACACGCCGAGCAAAUCAAUCACGUCGCACGCACUCGGCACACAUGCCGUUAAUGUGCACGCGGGACCACCAGCCGGAGAGAGAAGGGCCCAAGGAUUAGGGCGCGUUUCCGUUUCGAGGAUAAUUACUCGCCAUCCCUCUGAUCUUUGGCGGUUGGCUACGUUAACCGACUCUAAACAGGGAAUCGCCUCCACGCCGCUAAUAGAAAGUUAAGACCGCGUGGGACAAAUGGAUUUGUCGCACGACACGAGGAAACGAUUGCCUGUGACACGCCAGUCGUUUCGGUGAAACGAAGGAAGGGUUUGUCUUCUUUUGAAGAAGGUGAAACACUUGAUAUGAAUCGUUGUCGGAGACACCUCGGAGACGGAAGCAAUUUUCCAACGCCAUCAAGCGUAACAAGAUUCAUAGCAUGAAAUGAGAUUUGGCUGUUUCGUUCGACGCUUUAAUCGCACGGUGAAUUGGGAGGAUAGAGGAUGGGAGUUCGAUUAAGCAGGCUCGAUUUUAUGGUUCUACGAUUAUUCGAACUGCUAUUAGUCCCAGGGAUCUUCAUUAGCCGAUGUAUCAGGGGCGUACGGAGGGAGGUGCUCUGGAAUUGCAACCGGAGUUCGUUAAUUAAUUCCUUAGCCGAGUUCGUUAGAGAGGUGGGUAAAAGGUAAAACUGGGCUUGAACGGGGAGACGUGUUCCAAUCUAAACUUUUCUUACCUUUGAUUCUUUCGCUGUUGGCAAAAA